rnacentral:rRNA from 1 species
UACAGAGGGUGCAAGCGUUGUUCGGAAUUAUUGGGCGUAAAGCGCGUGUAGGCGGCUUGGUAAGUCGGGUGUGAAAUCCCUCAGCUCAACUGAGGAAGUGCGCCCGAAACUGCUUUGCUUGAGUGCUGGAGAGGGUCGCGGAAUUCCCGAAGUAGAGGUGAAAUUCGUAGAUAUCGGGAGGAACACCGGUGGCGAAGGCGGCGACCUGGACAGUAACUGACGCUGAGACGCGAAAGCGUGGGUAGCAAACAGGAUUAGAUACCCUGGUAGUCCACGCCGUAAACGAUGAGAACUAGGUGUCGUGGGUGUUGACCCCCGCGGUGCCGUAGCUAACGCAUUAAGUUCUCCGCCUGGGAAGUACGGCCGCAAGGCUAAA